CUGGUCUCUUAUUUAAUUGGUAAUGACCUU
rnacentral:piRNA from 1 species